CUCGUUUUGUCUAGGAAGCAAUGAUUAGGAAAAACAAAAUGGCCGCCGUCCUGACAAGUUACUUCACAACACUGAAUUAAUGAAGAAUGGGAUUUUAUAUGUUCAGUUGACUUAUAAACUCAACAGAAGACCCCAAGUGGGCUACAUACAGUGAACAUACAAUUUUUGGUUAACAAUUAAAAAUAAGUAUAUCAUUUUUCUAUAACAGUUUCUAAACUAAAGUUCGCGACCUUGGCUUACAAAAAUUUGGGGGACAUUUAUUUAUACAAGUCUUAAGUCCCACAGCACUACCAGAGGAGGCACCAAAGCCUCUACAUAAGUUUGGCGCUUGGUCCAACAGGCCGUGUGACAGCCUUACAUCUACACCAGCUCCCUUGCAGGCAUAGAUUUAAGCAAU